GACGAACGCUGGCGGCGUGCUUAACACAUGCAAGUCGAACGGAAAGGCCCCCUUGUGGGGUACUCGAGUGGCGAACGGGUGAGUAACACGUGAGUAACCUACCCUUGACUUUGGGGUAACUUCAGGAAACUGGGGCUAAUACCGGAUAGGAGCUCCUGCUGCAUGGUGGGGGUUGGAAAGUUUCGGCGGUUGGGGAUGGACUCGCGGCUUAUCAGCUUGUUGGUGGGGUAGUGGCUCACCAAGGCUUUGACGGGUAGCCGGCCUGGGAGGGUGCCCGGCCACAUUGGGACUGAGGUACGGCCCAGACUCCUACGGGAGGCAGCAGUGGGGAAUAUUGCACAAUGGGCGGAAGCCUGAUGCAGCCACGCCGCGUGCGGGAUGACGGCCUUCGGGUUGUAAACCGCUUUCGCCUGUGACGAAGCGUGAGUGACGGUAAUGGGUAAAGAAGCACCGGCUAACUACGUG
rnacentral:rRNA from 1 species